rnacentral:lncRNA from 1 species
AUAGGUGGGAAGGUUUUGGUGGCAUCAGACUCACCCAUCUCGCCCAGCAGGAUUGCAGGUUUGUCUUGAUAAAUCUGAUUUUUUUGGGGGGGAGGGGGAUGCUACUGUUCCAUCCUCUCAGAUCCCUGCAAGAACAUAGUAGAGUUUAGAUUUGUUGUGUGCCUUGUUAUGAAUGGUCACUUAUCAAUAACCGAAUUAAAUGCCAGUGGAUAAAGUGCUCCAUUGAAAACAGAUUAGCAAGGAAGAAGACAAAGGGAGGCAGCAGAAAGACAGACCCCACUGUGUUGCUUUGAGUUCCAGAGAUCAACUGUGCUGGGGAGGACCUCUUGGUUCGACUGAGAGAGACAGCCUUCUUUAGGCUGUUCACUUCAUCAGAAAAGAUUUACAGGCAUUGAGCCAUCUGAAGACAAUGGCUGACCAGCUCCACACCAACAAGCUGCUUGUGGGCUGUGUCACAGAUGCCCCCAUAGUCCACUGGUGUAGCAUACAUUUCUAUGAGGGAGAAAAAGCUAGCCAGCCCCGCCCUCCUGUGAGAAGCUAUCAGAGUCCAUCAUCAGAAGCAGUCCCUCACCAACACCGUUGAGGAGCAGCCUCAGAAGGCUGGGCUCCUGGUGGGCUAGUCUCUAACUACGGGGCUUCCUCACUUCUGUGGGCUGUUACAGUCACAGACAUGCAUUGCAAGGAUUUACGGUCUCCAAAGCACUGUUCAGAAAUGCAUGUACAAUUUCUCCUCUUCAAAUUCUGUUUUGUCUCUGUUCUCCUGUUACAGUGCAGCUGAGAAAGCUGCAUUCUUUACAAUCUAGACCUAGUGAUGUGUGCCUGGCACUGCUUAGCUCUUAAAAUAAUUUCAGCUGGAUUUGAGGAUAUGUAUUGCCACUGUGCAAACCUAUCCUCUGUGAGGAGCUGUGCUUGCUAACGAGUGAAGUUCCUUCUCUGCACUGCAUGCUUCUAAAGCAAAGAUCCUUGUCUUGUGCCAUCGUUCGAUUUCAGAGCAUUUGAAUAUGAGAGGUGAAUGCAACAUA